GAGAGAGACAUGCGCGCAUAUCAAUAAGCGGAGGAAAAGAAACUAACAAGGGAUUCCCUUAGUAACGGCGAGUGAAGCGGGAAGAGCUCAAAUUUGAAAUCUUCAAGGUUUUACCUUGACGAAUUGUAGUUUAAAGAAGUGUUUUCUGCUGAAGUUUUGGUAAAAGUUCUUUGGAAUAGGACAUCAUAGAGGGUGAGAAUCCCGUAUUUGACCAUUAUUUUCAGCUUUGUGAUACACUUUCAAAGAGUCGGAUUGUUUGGGAAUGCAGUCCAAAAUGGGUGGUAAAUUUCAUCUAAAGCUAAAUAUUGGCGAGAGACCGAUAGCGAACAAGUACCGUGAGGGAAAGAUGAAAAGAACUUUGAAAAGAGAGUUAAACAGUACGUGAAAUUGUCAAAAGGGAAGCGUUUGACACCAGUGUUGUUUUCUCGAAAAUCAAUUAAAAAUGGCUCGAUUUUGUAUUGCUUGAGACCUUAAAAGCUCACUGUACAUUUUUCGUGUCUUUUUUAAUGCACUUUUCGUUUAACAAGUCAACAUCAGUUUCUUUUGUUGUAAAAGGGUCAUUGGAAGGUGGCUUUCUUUUCGGAGAAAGUGUUUAUAGCCUUUGGCCUCUGCAAUCGGAGAGACUGAGGUCUGCAGCGUAGACUCUUCGGGGUCAGAUACAUUUGUGCUAAGUUAUAGCUUUUUAUAGACAACUUGUUGACUAUAAUUAGUCUUGUAGCUUACUCGCUUAUGCUAUUUUACCUACGCUUAGGAUGUUGAAGAUGUAGCACAUCAU
rnacentral:rRNA from 1 species